GCCCCGGUAGCUCAGUGGUGGAGCUCCUGUAUAUGGUGAACGAAAUCGCCUAAAAAUAACUAUCAGGAGGUCUGAGGUUCAAUCCUGCCCGGUGGCU